rnacentral:rRNA from 1 species
AUUGAACGCUGGCGGCAUGCCUUACACAUGCAAGUCGAACGGUAACAGGUCUUCGGAUGCUGACGAGUGGCGAACGGGUGAGUAAUACAUCGGAACGUGCCUAGUAGUGGGGGAUAACUACUCGAAAGAGUGGCUAAUACCGCAUGAGAUCUACGGAUGAAAGCAGGGGAUCGCAAGACCUUGUGCUACUAGAGCGGCCGAUGGCAGAUUAGGUAGUUGGUGGGAUAAAAGCUUACCAAGCCGACGAUCUGUAGCUGGUCUGAGAGGACGAUCAGCCACACUGGGACUGAGAAGCGGCCCAGACUCCUACGGGAGGCAGCAGUGGGGAAUUUUGGACAAUGGGCGCAAGCCUGAUCCAGCAAUGCCGCGUGCAGGAUGAAGGCCUUCGGGUUGUAAACUGCUUUUGUACGGAACGAAAAGCCCCGGGUUAAUACCCUGGGGUCAUGACGGUACCGUAAGAAUAAGCACCGGCUAACUACGUGCCAGCAGCCGCCGUAAAAC